UACGGAGGGUGCAAGCGUUGUCCGGAAUUAUUGGGCGUAAAGAGCUCGUAGGCGGCUUGUCACGUCGGAUGUGAAAAUCCAGGGCUCAACCCUGGACCUGCAUUCGAUACGGGCAGGCUAGAAUUCGGUAGGGGAGUCUGGAAUUCCUGGUGUAGCGGUGAAAUGCGCAGAUAUCAGGAGGAACACCGGUGGCGAAGGCGGGACUCUGGGCCGAUAUUGACGCUGAGGAGCGAAAGCGUGGGGAGCGAACAGG
rnacentral:rRNA from 1 species